GUGCUUGCUUUGGCCACACGUAAACUGAAAUUGGAAUGAUACAGAGAAGAUUAGUAUGGUCCCCAUGCGAGGAUGACAGGAAGGCAAAUAAUAAACUUUCCAAGUUGAG
ensembl:snRNA U6 U6 spliceosomal RNA